GAGGAAAAUCAAGGAAAUUGGGUUUGAGAAUUGGCACAAGGCAUGCUUUGUGCCGACUAAGUCCGACGCCAUAGUGAUCGGUUUUCGGAGAUGGUACAACAAUUUUAGCGACGGUGAAGUCGACUGGCGAGGCAAGUACAUAGGCGAUCUCCCUCCGACUCCCCCGCGGGAGCAACUCAUGGACAGGUAUACACUACAAGGAAAAGGGUUAAUAUUAACGGACUUCAGUUUCCAUCCCUAAAGUUUACAUUUAUAGUGACCAAAAUCAACUUUUUUCCUGUGACUAAAUGGUCUUUGAAAUUUCGUGUUGCUAGGUACUGGAGCCACGUAGUGAACUGCAGCAGCUGCAACGGCGCGUAUAAGAACCUGAAAGCACUUGAGACCGCUCUCGUGUUUCUCUCCGUUGGAUUGAUCGCUGUAGCAGCAGCAACCAAGGAUGAGAUGAUGUUAGCUGGUUCGAGAUCCAGACUGGCGAUAAUGGCGAUGAUUUGCUUCGCUGUUUCGAGGUGGCUGGCUCGUUUCGUCUACACCAAGUUUCGUUAUCAUGACUACAACCACGCCCUCCUCCGACCCACCCCGUUCCUCAACCUACUCCAGCGAAUAGGCCUCGCUAUGUAAGCUAGGACGCAUGCAUAGAUAAACUAUGUUGGAAAAAUCUUCGAUUGUGGUUUGUUUAGAUAUGUGUGCCUCUUUUACUAUUGUACCUUGUUUUAUACCUCUUCUUUGUAUCAAAUCUUUUGGGUUGAUGGGUUGUAUGGUAGUAUUUCUUUCGGGUCAUUGUGGCGUAAUGCUUUUCGACAUACUUCGGAGUGGUAUAAGAUUAAAAAAAUAGAGAAAUGCCAUAACUCUUGAAAUGAUAUCAGAACUUUUAAUCAAUAAAAGAUUGCAAUUUUCCAUUAUAAGAAGUUUCAAUUGAGGCAACAUCGUUAGUUAAUAUUUGAAUAAAGACUAUAGAUGAAUCUGGCCUUAUGACUUACAAGACUGGUUGAUUAGCACGCAUGGGCACACAUCCUGUUAGGACAAGAGACUGUCAAAUAUACAACACUCAUACCCUCAAGGCUUCAACUAAAUAUCGCUUGGUAUUAUUUCGGCAUCAAAUUGAAUCGUCGAGGAUGAUGUUGCACUCCUCACACUACUAGACUCGUUUGAUCUUUUAUCGUUUCUCGACUAUCGAGACAGAGUUAAAGGGUGUUGUGUCAAAUUUGCAAAUUACUUGUUUAUAAAAAAAACGGGACUCUGUUUAUAUAUUAACAUCUCUCUGACUCCCUCUGUGUCUCGCGCGGAUGUAAUUACUAAAAAGUUUAGUAAAUAAAAAAAAUUAAUAAAUAAACAACUUUAGUAGAAAAUAUCCAAUCAAUUCAAAAUUUUCCUUUUAACAGAAAAUAGAAUUGCGUGUGAUUCUUUUAUAAUCAGUUGCCAUGUCAGCAUCCCACCAUGCAAAAGAAUUGACAUGUCAUCAGUAUUAGGCAAUAAGUUAAUUAAUAUAUAUUAUUUCCCAUACAAAACAAAUUAUUAGUAGUACUAUUAGCUAGCCAGCCAUGGAAGCACUCGCAAGCUCUGCAAUUUUUCCUAAUUCCACCCUUCUUCACCGCCACUUCUCGAAACCCAACUCGUCAAAUCUCCGAUCAAAACCCAACGUUUCGAAAUUCGAGCUCUUUACUGCCUUCUCUGUUUCAGUAGGCCAUCAUAAUCAUGUACCACUUGAGAAAGUAAUAAAUUCGGUUGACGAUGCGGAGAUCAAUGACACCAAGUUUGAUUGGUACUCGCAGUGGUAUCCUUUGAUGCCAGAGUGCGAUCUCGACAAGAGGGUCCCGCACGGGAAGAAGGUACUGGGAAUCGAUGUGGUGGUUUGGUGGGACGAGAAACAGAGUGCAUGGAAGGUGUUCAACGAUAUGUGCCCUCAUCGUUUGGCUCCGCUUUCCGAAGGGAGGAUCGAUGGCAACGGGAGAUUGCAAUGUGUUUAUCAUGGUUGGUGUUUCGAUGGCUACGGCCGUUGCAAGCUCAUCCCUCAGGCUCCCGUUCAGGGCCCUCCGGUAAAUGUUUUGUAUAGGCAAAAACCCUAAAAUGGCACGAACUAUUACAUAAAUACUCAUAUACACAUCCUUUAUGAGAAAUUACUCGCCUGGCACGAUCUAUUGAUUUUUAAAAAAAUCGGGACACACCGUGGAAUUUUUCCGUUAAUUUGUAUAAGCACACACUAAUUAACUCCUUCCCAUCACAAUUAACAUGAAAGAUUGUUUUGAAGAUCAAUAUACACACCUGAGUUUUCUCUAUCUUUUUAAUUAUUUUGUAAAUUUCUCGAUCAGGUACACACCAACAAAAAGGCUUGCGUCGCGGCUUAUCCAACCGUAGUUCAAUACGGUAUCGUAUGGUUUUGGCCGAACUCCGAUCCUCGGUACAAAGACAUCUUAGAGAAGAAGAAGCCUCCACUAAUCCAAGAGUUGGAUGACCCUUCAUUCACUAAGGUGUUGGGGGCUCGAGACCUUCCUUACGGGUAAUUUAUCUUUUCUUGUGCUGAUAUUACAAUUACAAUUAUAGUUACAAUAAUAAUAAUUCUUCAAUUUAAUGUUUGCUUAAAUUUUUGUUUGAUAAUUUACAAUGUUGUUUUGUUUUAUAAUUAAUUUACAAUAAUGUUUGUUUCUUUUGCAAUUCUAGGUAUGAUGUAUUAAUGGAAAACUUUAUGGAUCCAGCUCAUGCUCUCUAUGCACAUUAUGGCUUGAUACCAUCACAGCAGUCCAAUAAGGGUAAACACGAAUUCCGACUCGGUUUGAUCGUCGAUUUGAAAAAUGAUUUCACCAAUUAUUUGGACGAAAUAACAUUUUUGAACGAAAUUAUUUGCGUUCGGAGUCCGGAAGCCCAUAGUGGACUCCCCACACUCUCCACCACUAGAAACAGGCUGCUAUUUGCGAAAUUACUUGCAUUUUGUCUUCAGAAAAGGUCGACAAAGAAGGCGGGAGACCGCUGGAAUUUAGUGUGAAGGAACUGCGUGUAGACGGUUUUGAUGCCGAUGUGGAAUAUGGAAGCAACGAAUUUGUUGCUCCGUGCUUGGUUUCUUUCCGUACCGAUAUGCCCGCCGGACCUAACGAGGUACGUAAUUCGGAAUGUUAAUCGAAAAGUACAAGAUUCGGAACUAAGGCGGUUCGACUUUUGUGAUGCAGGAGCCUAAGAGCACAAGAUUGAUUUUCUUAUGCAUCCCAGUUAGCCCAGGGAAUAGCAGAGUGAUAUGGGCAUUCCCAAGGAACUACAACCUCUGGCUUGACAAAGUUGUGCCUAGAUGGGUCAUCCAUUCGGGAACAGACCUGGUUUUUGAUUCGGAUUUGACUCUUCUCCAUCUUCAGGUGAUUCAAUUCGGUUUGUUUUAUAACCCGAAGUUCAACCGAUUCGCGGACCAUACAGUAUUGAAUUAAUGACCAUAGAGUUUUCCUUAUUUUGGAAAAGGAGAGGAAAAUCAAGGGAAUUGGGGAUGAUUGGCACAAGGCAUGCUUUCUGCCGAGUACUUCCGACGCACUAGUGGUCGGUUUUCGGAGAUGGUACGAUAGAUUUAGCGACGGUGAAGUUGACUGGCGAGGCAAGUAUAGCGGCGACCUCCCUCCGACUCCCCCACGGGAGCAACUCAUGGACAGGUAAAAACUCAUCGUAUACAAAUCUAAUAUUUCGUGACUAUAUGUAUUUCCCGUCACUAAAACUAAUCAUCAGCCGUCUAUUAACCUUCAGUAUCGAGAUUCAAAUCUUUAGUUACCAGAAUUCGCUUGUUAAUUCGGAGAACCCGAUUAUUGUAUUAACCAAAUCUUGAUUUGUGUUUGACGGUACAAGAAAAAGGGCUUUUAAUAUGACGAGAUUUCAUAUUCUUGAAGCUAGUUUGACUAAAUGUCUGUUACGUAUUUGCAUUUAGUCACAUACUUGUGACUAAUUCUAAGCCGUUAGUGUCACUAAAUGUCUGUUACGUAUUUGCAUUUAGUCACAAAUUCAUGAUCACUAAAUCCCUAUCAUGAUUUUUCAUUAUCACUAAAUCCCUAUCAU
rnacentral:lncRNA from 1 species